AUGCCCCACCGCCACCCCCACCCACCCGCCGCUGAUCCACCAUCACGCUCGGUAGCGCCGCCCUCCUCCUUCUCUCUGCAGUCCAUGGCCGGCACCGCAGCCUCGUCCCCACAGCUGCUCCGCAGCGCCUCCGACGACCGCGCCCGGAGCGCGACAGUGGCAUCAUUCCGAGCACAUGACGCCACGCUCCGCCGGGGCUCCUUCACCGUCCGCGGCUCCUCCAGGCUCUGCACCUUGCCGACUCCCCCUUCGUCACGGCCUCUCGUCCAUGCUAGAGGCAGCCACGUCCUCGAUGGUUGCUGCUGGAUUCUACCCCUCCAAGUUGCUCGGACGCCUCCCCAACUCUCCAUCCUCCCCAACAAGGUCGCUGCCAUCACCAAAAGCCAGGAUGAAGGCCAGGAAGCCCUACACCAUCACGCCCGGGAGAUCUGGACCGAGCCCGAGCACGACAAGUUCCUCGAGGCGCUGCAGCUGUUUGAUCGUGAUUGGAAAAAGAUAAAAGCAACAUCGGCCACUUGUGGUGGUCCGAAGGCCUCCGGGCGCCGCAGCACCACGCUGUCCUGA
rnacentral:rRNA from 1 species